rnacentral:rRNA from 1 species
AUUGAACGCUGGCGGCAGGCCUAACACAUGCAAGUCGAGCGAGCGGCGGACGGGUGAGUAAUGUCUGGGAAACUGCCUGAUGGAGGGGGAUAACUACUGGAAACGGUAGCUAAUACCGCAUACCAUCAGAUGUGCCCCGAGGGGAUUAGCUGGUAGGUGGGGUAACGGCUCACCUAGGCGACGAUCCCUAGCUGGUCUGAGAGGAUGAACAGCCACACUGGAACUGAGACACGGCCCAGACUCCUACGGGAGGCAGCAGUGGGGAAUAUUGCACAAUGGGCGCAAGCCUGAUGCAGCCAUGCCGCGUGUAUGAAGAAGGCCUUCGGGUUGUAAAGUACUUUCAGCGGGGAGGCGUUACCCGCAGAAGAAGCACCGGCUAACUCCGUGCCAGCAGCCGCGGUAAUUC